rnacentral:rRNA from 1 species
UCUGGUUGUCCCGGUUUAAGCGUGUAGGUGGAGUGUUUUGGCAAAUCCGGACACUCAUAACACUGAGGCGUGAUGACGAUGUCUUUCAGACAAUAAAGUGGCUGGGUCCAUGCUUCCAGGAAAAUCCUCGUAUCUAGUUAUGAAUGUGACCGUACCGUAAACCGACACAGGUGGGCUGGUAGAAGAUACCAAGGCGCUUGAGAGAACUCUGGUUAAGGAACUCGGCAAAAUAGCACCGUAACUUCGGGAGAAGGUGUGCCUGCAUGGUGUAAUAAUUUACUUAUGAAGCCUACGCAGGUUGCAGUGAAAUGGGGGGAGCGACUGUUUACUAAAAACAUAGGACUCUGCGAAGUCGAAAGACGAUGUAUAGGGUCUGACGCCUGCCCGGUGCCGGAAGGUUAAGGGGACAUGUCAGCGCAAGCGAAGCAUUGAACCGAAGCCCCGGUAAACGGCGGCCGUAACGAUAACGGUCCUAAGGUAGCGAAAUUCCUUGUCGGGUAAGUUCCGACCUGCACGAAUGGCGUAACGAUUUCCCCACUGUCUCAACCAGAGGCUCAGCGAAACUGUAGCACCGGUGAAGAUGCCGGUUACCCGCAACUAGACAGAAAGACCCCGUGAACCUUUACUAUAGCUUGGCAUUGUUUUUUGAGGUAACAUGUGUAGGAUAGGUGGGAGACUUUGAAGUGGGCACGCCAGUGCUCAUGGAGUCAACCUUGAAAUACCACCCUUGUUAUCUUAGAAAUCUAACCGCGGUCCGUCAUCCGGAUCCGGGACAUUGUCUGGUGGGUAGUUUGACUGGGGCGGUCGCCUCCCAAAUUGUAACGGAGGCGCGCGAUGGUUCCCUCAGGCUGAUUGGAAACCAGCCGUAGAGUGUAAAGGCAUAAGGGAGCUUGACUGCGAGACAGACAUGUCGAGCAGGUACGAAAGUAGGUCUUAGUGAUCCGGCGAUUCCGCAUGGAAGGGUCGUCGCUCAACGGAUAAAAGGUACUCCGGGGAUAACAGGCUUAUCUCCCCCAAGAGUCCAUAUCGACGGGGAGGUUUGGCACCUCGAUGUCGGCUCAUCACAUCCUGGGGCUGUAGCAGGUCCCAAGGGUUUGGCUGUUCGCCAAUUAAAGUGGUACGUGAGCUGGGUUUAAAACGUCGUGAGACAGUUUGGUCCUUAUCUGUUGCGGGCGCAGGAUAUUUGAGGAGAUCUUUCCCUAGUACGAGAGGACCGGGAUGGACGAACCUAUGGUGUACCAGUUGUUCCGCCAGGAGCAUCGCUGGGUAGCUAUGUUCGGCAGGGAUAACCGCUGAAAGCAUCUAAGCGGGAAGCCCACUUCAAGAUAGGAUAUCCCAUGGCGUAAAGUCAUCUGAAGGCUCGUGGUAGACCACCACGUCGAUAGGUCGGAUGUGGAAGUGCAGUAAUGCAUGCAGCUUACCGAUACUAAUCAGCCGUGCGGCUUAUCCAU